GCCAGCGUGGCAUAGUGGUUUGAAGGUUGGACUACGACUCCGGGGACCAGAGUUCGAAUCUCGGCUUGGAUG